rnacentral:lncRNA from 1 species
GCCGCCGCCGCCGCACUUCCGGGUGCCAUUGCAGCUCCUAACCAAGGUGCUCAGUACCGCGGCUAGGGUGCCCAGCGGGAGGCUGGGUAGUUACCGGAGGAGGCAGAGCCGGUCGCACGCCUGGGUCCCAGCGGAGGCCCAGUCGACUCUCGACCCGGGCCCCAGCCUCCUUGCGUGGCGAAGGUCGUGCCUCAGGUCUCCUGGCGAACCUGGCCGCCCGGAAGCGGAGAGUGACUCCUCCCCUUCGUCCCCUCGGUGCCCGCCAGGCGGCGCCGUCGGCUGGGCCCGGAUUCCCCUGCGGCUUCGAUCCCUUUCCACUGGGUAUUGAGAUUGGCGAGGGGAGAGGCGCAGAAACGGCGUGAUGCAGAAAGCCUCAGUGUUGCUCUUCCUGGCCUGGGUCUGCUUCCUCUUCUACGCUGGCAUUGCCCUCUUCACCAGUGGCUUCCUGCUCACCCGUUUGGAGCUCACCAACCAUAGCAGCUGCCAAGAGCCCCCAGGCCCUGGGUCCCUGCCAUGGGGGAGCCAAGGGAAACCUGGGGCCUGCUGGAUGGCUUCCCGAUUUUCGCGGGUUGUGUUGGUGCUGAUAGAUGCUCUGCGAUUUGACUUCGCCCAGCCCCAGCAUUCACACGUGCCUAGAGAGCCUCCUGUCUCCCUACCCUUCCUGGGCAAACUAAGCUCCUUGCAGAGGAUCCUGGAGAUUCAGCCCCACCAUGCCCGGCUCUACCGAUCUCAGGUUGACCCUCCUACCACCACCAUGCAGCGCCUCAAGGCCCUCACCACUGG